rnacentral:rRNA from 1 species
AGUGAACGCUGGCGGUAGGCCUAACACAUGCAAGUCGAACGGCAGCACAGUAAGAGCUUGCUCUUACGGGUGGCGAGUGGCGGACGGGUGAGGAAUACAUCGGAAUCUACUUUUUCGUGGGGGAUAACGUAGGGAAACUUACGCUAAUACCUCAUACGACCUACGGGUGAAAGCAGGGGAUCUUCGGACCUUGCGCGAUUGAAUGAGCCGAUGUCGCAUUAGCUAGUUGGCGGGGUAAGGGCCCACCAAGGCGACGAUCCGUAGCUGGUCUGAGAGGAUGAUCAGCCACACUGGAACUGAGACACGGUCCAGACUCCUACGGGAGGCAGCAGUGGGGAAUAUUGGACAAUGGGCGCAAGCCUGAUCCAGCCAUACCGCGUGGGUGAAGAAGGCCUUCGGGUUGUAAAGCCCUUUUGUUGGGAAAGAAAAGCAGCAGGUUAAUACCCCGCUGUUCUGACGGUACCCAAAGAAUAAGCACCGGCUAACUUCGUG